GCCGCGUGCAGGAAGACUGCCCUAUGGGUUGUAAACUGCUUUUACAGAGGAAGAACCACUCCCACGUGUGGGGGUUUGACGGUACUCUGCGAAUAAGGAUCGGCUAACUCCGUGCCAGCAGCCGCGGUAAUACGGAGGAUCCAAGCGUUAUCCGGAAUCAUUGGGUUUAAAGGGUCCGUAGGCGGGCAGUUAAGUCAGUGGUGAAAGUCUUCCGCUCAACGGGAGAACUGCCAUUGAUACUGAUUGUCUUGAGUUAUUAUGAAGUGGUUAGAAUGAGUAGUGUAGCGGUGAAAUGCAUAGAUAUUACUCAGAAUACCGAUUGCGAAGGCAGAUCACUAAUAAUAUACUGACGCUGAUGGACGAAAGCGUAGGUAGCGAACAGGAUUAGAUACCCUGGUAGUCUACGCCGUAAACGAUGGUUACUAGCUGUUCGGCCCGAUUAAGGGCUGAGUGGUUAAGCGAAAGUGAUAAGUAACCCACCUGGGGAGUACGUUCGCAAGAAUGAAACUCAAAGGAAUUGACGGGGGCCCGCACAAGCGGUGGAGCAUGUGGUUUAAUUCGAUGAUACGCGAGGAACCUUACCAGGGCUUAAAUGUAGUCUGACAGGGCUGGAAACAGCUUUUUCUUCGGACAGAUUACAAGGUGCUGCAUGGUUGUCGUCAGCUCGUGCCGUGAGGUGUCAGGUUAAGUCCUAUAACGAGCGCAACCCCUGUGGUUAGUUGCCAGCGAGUAAUGUCGGGAACUCUAGCCAGACUGCCGGUGCAAACCGUGAGGAAGGUGGGG
rnacentral:rRNA from 1 species